rnacentral:rRNA from 1 species
AAUAGAUACCCGGGUAGUCCACGCCGUAAACGUUGGGCGCUAGAUGUGGGGACCAUUCCACGGUUUCCGUGUCGCAGCUAACGCAUUAAGCGCCCCGCCCGGGGAGUACGGCCGCAAGGCUAAAACUCAAAGGAAUUGACGGGGGCCCGCACAAGCGGCGGAGCAUGCGGAUUAAUUCGAUGCAACGCGAAGAACCUUACCAAGGCUUGACAUAUACGAGAACGCUCUAGAAAUAGAGAACUCUUUGGACACUCGUAUACAGGUGGUGCAUGGUUGUCGUCAGCUCGUGUCGUGAGAUGUUGGGUUAAGUCCCGCAACGAGCGCAACCCUCGUUCUAUGUUGCCAGCGGUUCGGCCGGGAACUCAUAGGAGACUGCCGGGGUCAACUCGGAGGAAGGUGGGGAUGACGUCAAAUCAUCAUGCCCCUUAUGUCUUGGGCUUCACGCAUGCUACAAUGGCCGGUACAAAGGGCUGCAAUACCGUAAGGUGAGCGAAUCCCAAAAAGCCGGUCUCAGUUCGGAUUGAGGUCUGCAACUCGA